rnacentral:tRNA from 1 species
UCCCUGGUGGUCCAGUGGUUAAGACUUUAACUUCCAAUGCAAAGGAUGCAGGUUCGAUCCCUGGUCAGGGAU